rnacentral:rRNA from 1 species
AUUGAACGCUGGCGGCAGGCCUAACACAUGCAAGUCGAGCGAGCGGCGGACGGGUGAGUAAUGUAGGGGGACUGCCCGAUAGAGGGGGGUAACUACUGGAAACGGUGGCUAAUACCGCAUACUAUCGGCUAACACAUAUGGGAUUAGCUAGUAGGUGGGGUAAAGUCUCACCUAGGCGACGAUCUCUAGCUGGUCUGAGAGGAUGAUCAGCCACACUGGGACUGGGACACGGCCCAGACUCCGACGGAGGUAUGAGUGGGGAAGAAUGCACAAUGGGCGCAAGCCUGAUGCAGCCAGGCCGCGUGUAUGAAGAAGGCUUUAGGGUUGUAAAGUACUUUCAUCGUGGAGGCGUUACCCGCAGAAGAAGCACCGGCUAACUCCGUGCCAGCAGCCGCGGUAAUAC